AAAAAAAAAACAGCAGUCUAGUGAACUGGGAAGAUCAUUU
rnacentral:rRNA from 1 species